UACAAGGGUGCUGAUAAAAAUCGGCUGAGAUAAGAAUGUGAUUCUUGACCUUUUAACCUGAUCUGGGUAAUGCCAGCGUAGGAAGGAACAUAUAUUA
rnacentral:ncRNA from 1 species